AUUGCAGCCUGCAACUCGGCUGCAUGAAGCUGGAAUCGCUAGUAAUCGCAGAUCAGAAUGCUGCGGUGAAUACGUUCCCGGGUCUUGUACACACCGCCCGUCACACCAUGGGAGUUGGGAAUGCCCGAAGUCAGUGACCCAACCGCAAGGAGGGAGCUGCCGAAGGCAGGCUUGAUAACUGGGGUGAAGUCGUAACAAGGUAAC
rnacentral:rRNA from 1 species